UGGGUUAGUCGGGUCCUAAGCUGAGGCCGACAGGCGUAGGCGAUGGAUAACAGGUUGAUAUUCCUGUACCACCUAUAAUCGUUUUAAUCGAUGGGGGGACGCAGUAGGAUAGGCGAAGCGUACGAUUGGAUUGUACGUCUAAGCAGUGAGAUUGAGUGUUAGGCAAAUCCGGCACUCUUAAGAUUGAGCUGUGAUGGGGAGAGGAAUUGUUUCCUCGAGUCGUUGAUUUCACACUGCCGAGAAAAGCCUCUAGAUAUGGGUUAGUCGGGUCCUAAGCUGAGGCCGACAGGCGUAGGCGAUGGAUAACAGGUUGAUAUUCCUGUACCACCUAUAAUCGUUUUAAUCGAUGGGGGGA
rnacentral:rRNA from 1 species